rnacentral:rRNA from 1 species
AACGAACGCUGGCGGCAUGCCUAACACAUGCAAGUCGAACGAGACCUUCGGGUCUAGUGGCGCACGGGUGCGUAACGCGUGGGAACCUGCCCUUAGGGUCGGAAUAACUCCCCGAAAGGGGUGCUAAUACCGGAUAAUGUCUUCGGACCAAAGAUUUAUCGCCUUUGGAUGGGCCCGCGUUGGAUUAGCUAGUUGGCAGGGUAAAAGCCUACCAAGGCGACGAUCCAUAGCUGGUCUGAGAGGAUGACCAGCCACACUGGGACUGAGACACGGCCCAGACUCCUACGGGAGGCAGCAGUGGGGAAUAUUGGACCAUGGGCGAAAGCCUGAUCCAGCAAUGCCGCGUGAGUGAUGCAGGCCUUAGGGUUGUAAAGCCCUUUUACCCGGGAUGAUAAUGACAGUACCGGGAGAAUAAGCGCCGGCUAACUCCGUG